CGCUCGCCUUUACUUUUCAAGCUUCGCCUCAAAAAUUUGCAAAUUAAAUAUUUUUUUAUUAAAAUUUCAAAUCGCUCGCUCGCCCCAAAUUUUGGAGUCCAAAAAUCCGUAGAACAAGAAAUUAAAUUGGUGUGGCCUUAUCUGUUUAUUGAAAUAUAACAUAUGGUUCAUGAUAUGUUUACAACCACAUCUGUCUGUUUCAAAAACUAACCACCAAAUGCAGUUCUGAUUUUCUUUAUAUCUCCUAAUGGAAGGUCAUUAAUUAUCUCACUUGUAUCAUUCCAUACCCAAUCAUAAUUUUUUUCAUAUAUGUUCAAUAUAAGAAGAGUGCCACCGUUACCAAUUUUACAAUUUUCAAACUUGUCAUCCAAGUACAUAUUCAGAUCCAAAUCAUUUAUUUUCUUUAAAGCCUCAGGUUCUGACAGCUUUUUCUUUUUGAUGAUUCUUAUCAGUUCUGUUCGCAUCUUGUAGAGAAUCAUUUUCCCGUCUUCAUACUUCCGGAAUUUCUUAGCAUAAUGAUGCAUAGCUUUAUCAGCAGUCGGAAACUGUCGAACGUCAGCGGAAGACGAUUCAGAGGACUGUGCCGAACCC
rnacentral:lncRNA from 1 species